GGCGGCGCGUCUUAAGCAUGCAAGUCGAACGGCAAGAGGUAGCAAUACCUCCUAGAGUGGCGGACUGGUGAGUAACACGUGGGUGACAUACCCUUCAGAUGGGGAUAGCUAUAGAAAUAGUAGAUAAUACCGAAUACGAGCACAGGGGUUAGAGAUCUGUGAGGAAAGGAGCUAAGGCUCCGCUGAAGGAAUGGCCUGCGGCCCAUUAGCUAGUUGGUAGGGUAAAGGCUUACCAAGGCGAUGAUGGGUAUCCGGCCUGAGAGGGUGAUCGGACACAUUGGGACUGAGAUACGGCCCAGACUCCUACGGGAGGCAGCAGCUAAGAAUAUUCCACAAUGGACGAAGUCUGAUGGAGCGACGCCGCGUGGAUGAUGAAGGCCGAAAGGUUGUAAAAUCCUUUUACACUGGAGGAAUAAGCAGAGUAGGGAAUGACUCUGUGAUGACUGUACAGUUUGAAUAAGCAACGGCUAAUUACGUGCCAGCAGCCGC
rnacentral:rRNA from 1 species